AUAAAAGCAGGGUUCGCACAGGGCUUGAAAAGUGCUUGAAAACGAGUCCAAGGCUUGAAAAGCCCUUGAACAAAGGUUGGCCUUGAAAAAGUGCUUGAAAAGUGCUUAUUUCAUGUAAAAAAGCCUUGAAAAUGUUUAUUUAUGCUCAAAAUUACUUUUAUCAUCGCUUUUAUUAUUUUACUUAAAUCGUUCUUAAGGGAAAUAUUAUGAAAAUUUAUCAUAAAUUCCUUCGCGCAAAAAAAGUUGAAUACGAAAUAUAAGUUUCGUACACUAUUUAGUACGAAACGUUAUGUGUACACGUCACAGAUUAUGUGUACUACGUCAGAGGUUCUUCAUUGUGAUCAAUUUUUGCGAGUGAAAACGCAGGGAUGGGGAAGUGUCGUUUCAAACCAGGGUGGUUAACUGAAUAAGAGGAGAGAGCUGGAAGAACUGGAAAAGGAAAUCAAUUCUGUUAAAGACAAAAUGUUAUAGUAACUGACUGCUGUUCAAAUGUAAUGAACUAGUCUGUUUGAUGUGAGCAUAGAAAGAGACAAUGUGUUUGUUUGUAAUAACUUUUAAAUGUAAAUACAGUACAGCCAAUGCGGAACAAACGUAUUUCGCGAUCCGCGGCGGCAAGGCGAAACGAGUCGAUGCCGCUUCAGUCGUUGAAGCCGCGUCAGUAUGCGGCGGCAAGUCGCAUUUCGCCGCGAAACUUCGCAUCUGUCCGCCGAGGCAUGCCGCGAUCCGCGACAUGAUGCCGAAUCGAUGCGCAUCAUGAAAUAAAAAAUCUUCAAUUUUUUUAGUUACAUGUAGUUUACAAAUUUUGAAAGAACAAUUAUAAUAAUAAUUAAAAUCAUAAUAAAUGUAUUGUGCGCGGAUUGUCUUAGCAUAUACAUGUAAGCAUAGUUAAUGUGUCUGGCCAAUUAAGUUUGUUUCCCGCCCGUAGUGUAUGUAUUUCACACAUAAACACUGUCACGUAAUUAUGUUUUCGCACAUACAAGUGGUCAAGGCUCCAGCAUAUGGUUGAUUUAUGAAUUAAUUGCAUGUUGAUUUUGCUAUUAUAUUUAAGCUAAGAAAAUUAGCAGCUUGAAGCAACAUCAAUAAUCAAGACGGUGACGACGUAUUUGUUGUUUUGUUAAUUAUCAGCUUAUUAUAACUAUUGUUUGAAUAUGUGUAUGUAAACACGUUUUAUUUUGUUCAUAUUAUACAGUUAAUAUCGCUACUAAUUACCCGGUAAUUCUGUAUAUUCCAGUUUUAAAGCAAAUGCUGGUAAAUAUUUAUGAUACACAAACAUUCUCGAUAUUUCCUUAAGUAUCAAAUACAUUUUGGCAUGUGUUACUAUUUAUAGAGAUGAUGAAAUAACGUCUAAUCGGUGCUUUUUUUCAACUGAACACGCGAUUUACGCUUGACGUGAUGUUCAUGUUUUUAUACAACAUAAAAUACACCCAAACUUUCCAAACGACGUUCUACAUGUCUGCAUAAUUUUCGCGCGCUUUUUAUGAAACAAAGGAUAUUUUAGCACUGUUUAUUUGACGCUAGAAUUUGCCAAAGGUCGCGUUAGCAUUAAAAUUCGAAAGUGUGUUUCGGAUUACAAAUUUAAUAAUGAUAAUCGAACGAAACAUUAACAGUUGCGCGUAAUUAAUUCUACGCUUCACAUACAUGUAUGUGGAUAUCUUUUCACUCGAUCUGCCGCGUACGUAUGCGGCGGAUUUACUCCGCGAAAUUACGCGAGGUUAAUACAGACUCUGCGUCGUUGCGCGUAUCGAUGCCGAUUGCCACGGCGAUACGCCGCGUGAACACACGAUUCGGCGGCCGCGUACUAAUAAUCUGGCCGUGGCGUAGCCGCGGAUUAUGUUUGAGCCGCGUUGGCUGUACUGUACAUAUGUGACACUCAUUGUGUUAAGGAUGGAUAACCUGUAUUUCUAUGUAAUAACUAGAAAUAACAUGUAUGAGUUAUUGUGGAAUAAGUGUAAUGUGUUUGAGCAAAUAAAAAAAAUGAUAUUUACUAUGUAAAUCUGGUUUGAAAAUGCAGUUUUUAAAGGAAACUAACGUACGGUGCUCGGCCUUGAAAAUGAAAAUUUGGCCUUGAAAAGUCCUUGAAAAGUGCUUGAAUUUAGGUUUGAGAUUUCUGUUUGAACCAUGAACAAUAACAUUGUUUCAUGUGAUAACAGUGAUAUGGAAUGGGAUAUGCCCAAGUUAAAAACCCCAGUUAAGGGUAAGCCAGUGUCUGAUUCUUUGGCGAAGCUCAUAAAUGUAGCCUGUUCUACCCCGUGUGAAACUGAUGUUUUUUUUGGAAAAGUAUAAAGUACCCGAAAAUUGUGAUCGUGCUACACCACCUUUGGUUAACCAAGAAAUUUGGAAAAUUCUUGACAAAAAGUCUCAUGCCAAUGAUAGGUUGUUGGAAGACAUUCAGAAUUUGGUGGCAUCCGGAUUCGCACCCGAUUCGCACCUAUUAUAAAGCUUGCAGAUCUUUUAAAGGGCCACAUUUCAGCUGAGGCUAAAACUUGCAUUUCUGAUUGUCUGACAAUUCUCGGACAAGUCCAGUACCACAUUUCUGUUCGUAGACGUUAUAUGAUACGUCCUUGUCUCAAGGAAAAAUAUUCGGGCCUGUGUCAGGUGUCAAUGCCUAUCACAACUAAAUUAUUUGGGGAUGACAUAACAAAGGAAAUAAAAAAAAUGUGAUUCCCAAUUUUCUAUUGGAAAUGAUUGUUACUUACCCCCUAACCGUGGGCAUUACUUUGGCAGGGGUCGUGGUCGAUAUACCAUGAGGCGGCCGGUUGGCCACCGUUACCAGCCAUAUCAGAGUCAGAUGCCAUAUCAGAUGCCAUAUCCCUAGAGGGGCGCAAACAUGAGGCCGUUCAAGAGCAGACCUCCUAGGAGGGCAAACGCCACAGCUACAAUGCCGGCCCCAAACGGGAUGGAAUAGAUGGAUUAAAAUUUACCAAGACACAAGGACCUUCUUACUCUCCAACACAACCAGCAGUGUCAUCCUUUGGGAAAACGCCUUCGGCUAGUCGCAGUGACUGUAUCCGGGUUUCCCUUAUCCAGCGAGGAGUUUCGUUGCAAACUGCUGAAUUCAUCCUCCAAUCAUGGGCGAAAGGAAACAGGAAACAGUAUAAAAAUGCUUGGAGCACAUGGUGUAUUUGGAAUAGUAUCAGGAAAAGUGAUCCCCUUCAGGCGUCUGAAGCAGUGACCUUGAAUUAUUUGUUCUAUUUGUUUAAACUAUGGAAGUCUUAUUCAGUAAUUAAUACACAUAAAGCUAUGUUACUUCAGACAUUAUUACUUCUAUGUAACGUGUGGUGUAAAAGUUCAGUGUUAAUUCAUAGAUUUAUGAAGAGUGUUUUCCAAUAUCAACCUUCUAAACCACGUUAUUUAGUAACUUGGGAUGUCUCUGUUGUGUUAAAGUAUUUAAAGUCAUUAGGGCCUGUGUCUAAGUUACCUUUGAAAAUGUUGACAUUUAAGACGGUAGCUCUUAUU